rfam:Schistosoma mansoni strain Puerto Rico chromosome 5, complete genome
GCACUACUGAGGAGUCCCAUACUAGGACAAAACUGAAGUCUAGUGC